rnacentral:rRNA from 1 species
AGUGAACGCUGGCGGUAGGCCUAACACAUGCAAGUCGAACGGCAGCACAGGAGAGCUUGCUCUCUGGGUGGCGAGUGGCGGACAGGUGAGGAAUACAUCGGAAUCUACUCUGUCGUGGGGGAUAACGUAGGGAAACUUACGCUAAUACCGCAUACGACCUACGGGUGAAAGCAGGGGACCUUCGGGCAUCGCGCGAUUGAAUGAGCCGAUGUCGGAUUAGCUAGUUGGCGGGGUAAAGGCCCACCAAGGCGACGAUCCGUAGCUGGUCUGAGAGGAUGAUCAGCCACACUGGAACUGAGACACGGUCCAGACUCCUACGGGAGGCAGCAGUGGGGAAUAUUGGACAAUGGGCGCAAGCCUGAUCCAGCCAUACCGCGUGGGUGAAGAAGGCCUUCGGGUUGUAAAGCCCUUUUGUUGGGAAAGAAAUCCAGCUGGCUAAUACCCGGUUGGGAUGACGGUACCCAAAGAAUAAGCACCGGCUAACUUCGUGCCAGCCGCCGCUGUAA